GACUUCACUCCAGGGUGACUGUAGUCCACGUCACGGCUCAGCCUGGCAUCUUCACAGACCCCCAGGGCAGUGAGAGCUGUAUCAGAAAGAUGAAAACCAGCAGGGUAUAACCAGGUAGAAGACUGACUUGUUACGGAGUUCAGGCCCACACUUCUGUCUUACCCUUUCCUUUUGCUGAUCGUACGUGGAGCUUUGGAAUGAACAGUUUGAAGGGGAAGGACCAAAACACUUGACUUAUCCGCACUAGAAGGACGAGCCAUUAAUAAUGGAAGAAGGGCGGACAUUUACUGAGUCAAAGAGAGGUUUGGAAUGUUAUUGAGGCAAACAGCUCAGCAAGUUUUACAAUUGGGUACAGAAGAGGAUGGCAUCUAUAAUU